AGAAUGAUUUACUGACAUUGAAUGUGGAGGCAGUCAUGGAUUCAUAGCAAAGAGUGGGAACUAGGGAGUAAAGACAAUUGUCAAGGACUGGACUCAUUUUCUCCUUUUGUAAAGGUCACGAGAUAAGAGGCUAAUGGAAUAUUGGAUGAAGAGUUCAGUGGUCAUGAGGCUGCAAGAAUGAUUUGGGCAGUAGCAGACUUGGUGAUAUUGAAUAUGCUGGUAGUCAUGGCUUCAUAGCAAAGGAUGGAGAUUAAGGAGUAAGGACAACAUUGUCAAGGACUGGGCUCAUUUUUUCCUUUUGUCGUUGUCAGCAGAUAGAUCACAGCAAGUAGGAUGAAAUUCAGUGGCUAGAGGCAAGGAGAAUAGGGAUGUGGGCGAUGUCCUUGGGAGACAGAUUCCUUGUGGCAUUUCUGAUCAGUAGCAAGUAUGGAAGACAAUCUUUCGUUCUACGUACAGUGCUGCAAGUUUGUAUUGGGGACUUACCCUCUCUACAGAACUGAUGAAGUGAUUGGAGGAGUUGAUGCAGCUGCUAUUUCGUAGGUUAUACUUGCUGUCUAGGAAGCAUCAGGAGAGCAUCUCAAGGUUUGUGUACGCUACAUUUCAAGUGGGGUUUUGGAUUCAAAAGAGAAUGCCAUUGAUGUGUUGAACCAUCUGAACAGUUCAAUCAUCACAAUCAGUCAUCAGUUCAACCUUCUUGUGCAUCCUCUCAGAUAAUUCAGGCUUCUCACCCAACUCGGGCCUCUAACUCCAUAACUCCUGUCGUGAUCAAACACCAGGGCACAUGGAACACCAAGUCACUCGCACCAAGAGGACCAGGACACCAAAGAAACCUCUUCUGGAGGUCCAACAAAGACCUAAACAAGCCAAUAUGGCAGUGGUGAACCAACGAUCAUUUUUCAGUGAUUCACAUGUAUUUGGCAUAUGAUCGUAUUUUGGUCUAAUCAUGUGUGAUUAGACCUUUAGACCUUGAUUACGUCAAUAAAUUGAUUUGGCAACUAUGUACGCUUUGUCGUCAUGUUUUGAUUUUCUGUAUUUUUCAUUUGGGAUUAUGUCCGACUUAGAUCAUAUCAUGUAAUGUUGUCACUUUGAAUCA